AUUCUACUCCCUCCGUCCGGAAAUACUUGUCAUCAAAAUGGAUGAAAAUGGAUGUAUCUAGAACUAAAAUACAUCUAGAUACAUCCAUUUCAAUGACAAGUAUUUCUGGACGGAGGGAUUAUUUU
rnacentral:pre_miRNA from 1 species